rnacentral:rRNA from 1 species
GACGAACGCUGGCGGCGUGCUUAACACAUGCAAGUCGAGCGGUAAGCCCCUUUCGGGGGUACACGAGCGGCGAACGGGUGAGUAACACGUGGGUGACCUGCCCUCAGCUCUGGGAUAAGCCUGGGAAACCGGGUCUAAUACCGGAUAUGACUCCAUGACGCAUGUUGUGGGGUGGAAAGCCUUGUGCGGCUGAGGAUGGGCCCGCGGCCUAUCAGCUUGUUGGUGGGGUGAUGGCCUACCAAGGCGACGACGGGUAGCCGGCCUGAGAGGGCGACCGGCCACACUGGGACUGAGACACGGCCCAGACUCCUACGGGAGGCAGCAGUGGGGAAUCUUGCGCAAUGGGCGAAAGCCUGACGCAGCGACGCCGCGUGAGGGAUGACGGCCU